rnacentral:rRNA from 1 species
GACGAACGCUGGCGGCGUGCUUAACACAUGCAAGUCGAACGGAAAGGCCCUGCUUUUGUGGGAUGCUCGAGUGGCGAACGGGUGAGUAACACGUGAGUAACCUGCCCUUGACUUUGGGAUAACUUCAGGAAACUGGGGCUAAUACCGGAUAGGGGCUCCUGCUGCAUGGUGGGGGUUGGAAAGUUUCGGCGGUUGGGGAUGGACUCGCGGCUUAUCAGCUUGUUGGUGGGGUAGUGGCUUACCAAGGCUUUGACGGGUAGCCGGCCUGAGAGGGUGACCGGCCACAUUGGGACUGAGAUACGGCCCAGACUCCUACGGGAGGCAGCAGUGGGGAAUAUUGCACAAUGGGCGGAAGCCUGAUGCAGCAACGCCGCGUGCGGGAUGACGGCCUUCGGGUUGUAAACCGCUUUCGCCUGUGACGAAGCGUGAGUGACGGUAAUGGGUAAAGAAGCACCGGCUAACUACGUG